GUUUAUCUUUUUCCUCGCCUUCCAUCUUAGACCUUUCAUUUUCCUUUCCUUUCUCUACACACCUUUUAGUUGUGGCAGUAUGUUCGUGGAUUGAUUGAUAAAAUUAUUUUUGCUGCAAAUAGGGGAUUGGGGUUACAACACUCUGAAGGAGAGAGAGGAAGCUGUAAGUAUAUCAAGAAUUCAAUUUCUUCAACUUUUCGACUUCAGUAAGAAGUUAAAAUAAGAUAUUUUUACCAUAAAUUCGCCAUACUACUCUUUUUAGCACUUCUUAAUUGUUUAUUGUGACAACUGAGUUGGAUUAAUAAAAUUCAUCUUCCAUUCAUUGAACUUUUAUGAUUUUUUUUGAUUCUGCACAAGAAGUAUACACCCGUAUGCAUAUAAGUUUCAAAUUAUUAGUUAUGGAAAUGAUUUCUCAUGAAUUGAGUCAAUACAUGUGUUUACAGUCUUAUACUAGUUACAGUUUGCUUUACCGCAUCAUAUACUACUAUGAGGUCAUCGAGUUUUAUGUUUUAAAUAAAACUGAAUUUGUGUGAUUAAGCAGAAGUAAACAUGACACACAAAGAUCAUUGCACUUGCAAUACAAUGAUUAAAUUCAUCGUUUUCUCCAAGUGAUCUGCAAAUUACCAAAACAGCAUUCUUCAUUUUCUCUAACAUCAGAAGGGCUCUGCCCUUGGGGAAGGGACUUCCUUCUGCUGUCUGACAACAAAGCACCAUAGCUUAUUAACAAAAAUUAUUUAAUUAUUAAUUAUUAAUAAUUAUAUUUAUCACCAUACAUGCGGUAUAACCAACAACCGGACCAAAAAAACUGGUACCAAUUAUGUACCGAACCGGUACCAAAACCGGUAAUUCGGUACCGAUUUCAGUUCCUGGUUUUUUGGUAUUUUCGGAUCGGUACCGGUUAGGUUUUUUCGGUACCGGUUCGAUUUUUUACCGAUGAGCACCCCUAGUUCCAUGGGACUUUUUUUCAGGUUGAUGAUAGGAUACUGCUAGUGGGUAAAAUCUAAUUACGCACAACACGCAAGUAUAUGUGGUCAACAAGUAAUAAAGUGAUAAGUGAAGUAUCAUUCCCUCAGAGACAACUAGCAAGAACUCAAGCUUACAACUAUCAAUCUUUAACUAAUCCAAAUUUUAUUAAACUAUAUUGAAUAAAUGAUGAGAAAAUCUUAACAACUAAUACUCUAGCUAUCACUAAUAACCCACAAAGAUAAAACUCAAUUUCUAAAUAAUACUUGAAGAUUUAGGCUCAUGAUUUCACUCUAAGCUUCACUUAGAUUAAUUCACUUAUUCCUCAGUUCAACUCAAUAUUCCAGUUUAUUAAUCAAGAACACGAUUGUAGCAUUAACCACCUCUCAGUGCACUAAUACCAAAUUAACUCAAAUCCACAAUUAAGAUAGAAUUAAGCCAAACACUUCAAUCAAUUAACUCACAAUAUCUCUAUGCAGAUUAAAUCAAAAGAAGUUUAAGAUUAAGUUCUCUAUCGAUUACAUGCGAUGUCAAGCAUAUCUCUACCUUAACAUUCAUCACAAUUCUGCUAUUCACAAAAUUCAUGAACACAUGCUAUAUCAAUUAAGUCUAGAUUUAAACAUCUUCUCUCGAAUCCAUUCAAAUCCACAAAGAAUUGUUGAUCAGGCAAUUCACAAAUUCAAGCACAAAUCAAUAUAGAUAAACUGUUGAAUAUUUCAUUAAACUGAGAAUUAAAACUAAUUAACCAUUGUUCCGCUCAAAGAUCCAUCAAUCACCUAAAAAGAUAAUUAGUUCAUAAUAAAUAAAUUAACUACUGAAUAAAUAAAAGGAGACAUCAACCCAAUUACAGAUAAUAAAAAUCAAAGAAGAAUAAUAAACACCACCCUUCUUUGAAUUCAAUUCCUGCAAUUUUCGUGAAAAAAUUCCUUCUUCUCUAGACCUCCAAGCUUGAUCUCCAAUGUUGUUCUUCUUUCAAAAGUGUGUGUCUGUUUAAUCCCUCUUUCUCUUUCUACUUGUAGACCAUCACUUGUCUAGAUACUCUCCUAGCUCCCCUCCACUUCCUAUCCAAAACAACUUAAAACAAUUCCAAUUCUUCCCAAAUACCGCCAGCUAACCUCUCUUUAAAAACCAGCAAAACGCACCAGCGCAGUCCGCGCUAUCCUAGCCCUUCCGCAGCGCAAUCAGCGCUAGAGUAGCAGUAGAUGAAUCAGUCCCGGCGCAUUCAGCACUAGCCCGGCGCAGUUCGCGCUAGAGGAGCAGUAGGUCGCCCAUUCCAGUGCACCCAGCGCUCCACACAGCGCUGACAGCGCUAGAUCAUCAUCAGCUUCCAGUUUUUCUUAACACAGCCUCAAAUGCUUCAAAACGCGAGAUGCCUCUACUUUUUUUAUAUUACCUAUAGCUAUGCAUCGUCUUAUUCCCUUAGGCUUUUCAAUGCUACCUUAAUGAGCUUUCGACCAACGACUCCCAGACCAUUAAGACCUUAGGGCGCUAGGUGUAAAGACAAUCCCCUCUUACUUACUCAAGUAACAAAGGCCACAAAACUAGACAGGCAUGCCACAGUGUUUAAUCAUAUUUUUUUUUAGAUAAUAUUACAGGCUUAUAUACCCCAAAUAUUCCCCCAAACUUAGGUUUUUGUCUAACAAUAGCCAUCACUACUUAUUUUUAUCAUUCUCACAUUUAAACUAGUAAUGCCUUUUAGAGCUCUAUUAUGAAUUAAUUUAACGCAAUCAAUCUAGAAGUUGGUAUGUUCGUGCAAUCCUUUUACAAUAGUUUCAACAGUAGAAAGAUUCAACUUAUAACUCAAAAUUACUUCAAAGUUCCCUUACUAAGUAUCGCACAUUUUCUCCAAAUUCCAACCUCAUCAUUGGCCCUGAAAAACAGCAACAUAUCCCAACUAUCCACUAGAUUCAUGAAUUUUUAUUUUUUUUUAAACUGUUUUUUUCAUAAUAAAUACGACACAUGAAGAAAACUAAUAUAAAACUGGAUUCAUGCAAAUGAAAACUAAAAUCUAUCUAUCAUGAAAAUGCAGAAAAACAAAUCAUCCCCCAAACUUAAAUUAAGGAAUGCCCUCAUUACUUCAAAUAUGCUCAAAAAUAGAAAAAUUGAGGACUUCCCUGAAAACGCAUUACUGCGCGUCAUCGUCCGAAUGAGGAUAUGUUGGCAGGAUAGGAGGAUUAGGCAUAACGAUUGGCUGAGCAUUAUGAUUACAACGAGCAAACGCCUCAGCAAGUGUGUUGAAUGCAUUUGCAUUGUACUGAUGCAUUAAAUCUUGCCGCUCAGCCAACCACAUGACUUGAUUCCUUGGGACCCGUGCUUGUUCCUCGCGAGCGGGUUCCUCACUAACUGGUUCUUCAUGAGCCGGUUCUUCACUAGCCGAGGAUGAUGGUUGGCGGAUCAUGAUGUAACCUUCACCACGCGGGUGGGACUGUGCUCCAUCCCAAGUUGUAUACCUCUGAAUAUUUGCAUGGUCAAUUAUGGACGUUGGUUGUUGAAUUGGCUCAUUAGGUUGCCACUGCACCCCAACCUUUUGACAUAAAUUGGUAAUUAGAAACCCGUGCAGUAGCCCGCCUGUGGUACUCCCCCGUAGUGCUCGGUCAAUGGAUUCCUGAAUACAUUCCCCCACAUCAACAUUGUAGAAAGUAAUUAAAUUAUUCACAAGAUGGUGGUGGUGAACAAUUUCGUACAAUAAUCGGGCCCGUGCUUUAGUAACCUCAGUUAGAUGGCGCGUGGGCAUUAAUCGAGCACAAAUGAACGCAUGCCAUGCUUUUCCAUAUCGACUCAGUGCUGCGUGGGGAAAACUUACCUUUUCGUUAGUUCCAGCUUUAAUCGCCCAUUUUGUUCCUGGUUUGCAUAGUCGGGCAAUCAACUCAUCUAGCUCGGGCAACCCAUCUUCAUACCGGUCCUCUUGUGGCUUUUCUAACCCAAAAUAUUCGUUGAUAGCUUCAGCAUGAAAUGCUACCGGUUUUCCUCGAACCAUGACAACAUGAUUGACAUGUUCAAUUGCAUUCGCAUAAAACUCCUUAACUAUGUUGAUUGCCGCUGGAAGUGGUUGCUCUACUAGUUGAAACCAAUUGCGUUCUACAAUUUGCAACGCCAUAUCACCAUCCAAAUUCGCAUUUGGUUUCAAUCCUCGUUCUAGAACCAAAUGUUUCUUGUCAAUGGAUGUAGUGAAUCUCUCUGCUGCCUUCUCGCUAACAAAUCUUGAAUGGUCAUAUGUUGGGCGAGUUGAAGAGGUUGGUGCCCUUUGUUGUUUGUGUGAAGACAUGUUGCUUCCAAUUUGUUGGCACAAAAAUUUGGGUUUGUAUUUUUCUCAAACAGGUGGUGGGCGGAAUGUGUGACUCCCCCAAACGUGUUUUGUUGAUGAUGCUUUGCUACCCAAACAAAUCAAAACUCAGCACCUUUUCCUUGAUUUCUAAAUUCUCAGCUUUUCCACUCAAUUUUUGAUGUCACAACAAGAUAUUUUGUGAGGGAUGAAGAGAAUUAUCAUACCUAUUAUAAGUUAGGUUUACCUCUUUGAAGAGAAGUCCCAAUUUGUAUCACUUUGUGCAAGGCUAGUGUUAGAUUUAGGAUUGGAUUGUGAUUCUUGAGUUUUGUUGUAUCAAUAUGUUUAGAAUGGAGGAGCUUUAUAUAGAUAAUAGGACACCACGUGGAUGGGAGUUGGAACUUGAAAGGUUUAGUGGGUUUGGAAUUUGGAAAGGAGAAGGAGUGUAAAGAUAAAUUAAUGUGGAGUUAUGGGGAAGAGGAAGUGCAAUAGAAUUAGGAGAAGUGGAGAAGUGGUAUUGAUGUAAUAGAGAGGUGGAGAGGUGGACUUAUUCAAUUAACUCACACCUCUUUAGUUGCAGAAACCCGGUGCAGCACGGUCAGCACCCGUUGCAGCGCGCUCAGCGUCGUGACUGCUCUGAUGGUAGAAUAGUUACUGACCCUAUAAUGCGGUCAGCGCUGGCCUGGCGCAGUCAGCGCUAGUUGUGCAGUAUGUUGUCUCAGUCAGCGCUGCUGUGGCGCGGUCAGCGCCGGGUGCCCUUGGGAAACUGAUCUGGUAGCGCGGUCAGCGCCGGCCUAGCGCGGUCAGCGCUAGGUCUUAUGUUCUUUGUGCUAUAUAAUGUUGUUGCUUGACUGCACCAGCUCGGGGUUCCUGCAAUUACAGAGAUUUUUGUUACUCUCCAAGUAUACAUUCUAAUGACUAAGCUAUAACUAAAAAUUUAAAUGUAAGUAAGAGAUAGAGUUUAGAUCUUGGGUUGCCUCCCAAGUAGCACUUGCUUUAAUGUCGCUAGCCCGACAGUCCCUCAUGUUUUUAUUACGUGUCUGUGAGGGUAAUGUUGAUGGUGUCCACAUUUGCAUCCUCACCCCAGUAGUGCUUCAAUCUUUGACCGUUGACCUUGAAGGUUUCCAAUGGGUUUCUGCUAUACAGCUCCACGGCACCAUGUGGGAAAACCGUUUUUAUGGUGAAUGGUCUUGACCAUCGUGAUUUAAGUUUACCUGGAAACAAUCUCAGUUUUGAAUUGAACAGCAGCACUGCUUGACCUGGCAUGAAAGUUCGGAGAUUGAUUUUCUGAUCGUGCCAUUUUUUCACCUUUUCCUUAUAUAAUUGUGCAUUCUCGUAAGCUUGUAAUCUGAAUUCGUCAAGCUCAUUUAGCUGUAGUAAUCUCUUUUCCCCCACUGCUGUGCGAUCGAAGUUCAGUUUUUGAAUGGCCCAAUAAGCCUUGUGUUGUAGCUCAACCGGAAGGUGACAUGCCUUUCCAUACAACAACUGGUAGGGUGACAUGCCGAUUGGAGUUUUGUAUGCAGUCCGGUAUGCCCAAAGUGCAUCAUCUAAUCGAAGCGACCAAUCCUUACGAUUUGGGUUGACUACUUUUUCCAAUAUUUUCUUGACCUCCCUGUUUGACACCUCUGCUUGUCCAUUGGUUUGGGGAUGAUAGGCUGUCGCUAUUUUGUGGGCUGUAAACGUUUUGUUGCAGAAAUGACUUCCCUCAUCACUUAUUAUGGCCCUCGGUGUUCCAAACCUUGUAAAGAUAUUUUUCUGUAGAAACCUUAGGACCACUUUGGCAUCGUUCGAUGGUAGUACUGUGGCUUCCACCCAUUUAGAGACGUAAUCCACCGCGAGUAAAAUGUAUUAAUUGCUAAGAGACGAGGGGAAUGGUCCCAUGAAGUCAAUGCCCCAUACAUCGAAGAUUUUGACCUCUAAAAUUGUUUGUAACAGCAUUUCAUUCCUUUUUGAUAUGUUACCCACUCUUUGACAUCGAUCACAUGUUUUUACAAAUUGGUGAGCGUCUUUAAAUAGCAUUGGCCAAUAAAACCCUGAUUGAAGCACCUUUGCUGCUGUUCUUGUACUACCAUAAUGCCCACCAUAUGCAGAUGAGUGAUAUUCAUGCAAGAUGUUCUUCACUUCGCUGUGUGGCACACAUCUUCAGAUCAUCUUGUCGGCACAUUGUUUGAACAAGUAUGGCUCAUCCCACAUAUACCAUUUAACAUCGUGCAGAAACUUCUUUUUCAGUUGUCGUGUAAGAUCAGGAGGUAGUAUGUUACUGACUAGAUAAUUGACAAAGUCUGCAUACCAUGGUACUUCUGCCUGAAUCCCGAAUAAUUGUUCAUCCAGGAAGGUCUCGUUGAUGACACACUUAUCCUCUUUCUCUUUGUCAAGAUUUUCCAGCCUUGACAGAUGAUCAGCAACUUGGUUCUCUGUCCCCUUUCUAUCCUUGAUCUCUAAGUCAAAUUCUUGUAGGAGGAGAAUCCAUCGGAUAAGACGUGGUUUUGCGUCUUUCUUUGCUAUCAAAUAUCGAAUGGCCGCAUGAUCCGUAUAAACUAUCACCCUUGUUCCGAUCAAGUAGGCCCGAAAUUUAUCAAACACGUACACCACUGCAAGUAAUUCUUUUUCUGUUGUUGUGUAGUUCAACUGAGUCUCUGUGAAUGUUUUACUUGCAUAGUAAAUAGCAUAGAAUAUCUUAUUUCGGCGUUGGCCCAACACAGCCCCGAUUGCAUAAUCACUUGCAUCACACAUUAAUUCAAACGGCAUGCUCCAAUCCGGAGCGACGAUAAUGGGUGCUGUAGUUAGCUUUUUCUUCAACAACUCGAAGGCCAACUUACACUCCUCAUCAAACUUGAAUACUGAAUCCUUAUCCAGGAGGCUACACAAUGGUUUUGCUAUUUUUGAAAAAUCCUGUAUGAACCUCCUAUAGAACCCUGCGUGUCCUAGAAAGCUUCUAAUACCCUUGAUUGAACUUGGCGGAGGCAAUUUCUCAAUUGUUUCCAACUUGGCUUUAUCGACCUCCAAUCCUUGCACCGAGACUUUGUGUCCCAAAAUUAUGCCUUCUUCCACCAUAAAGUGGCAUUUCUCCCAAUUAAGUACCAGAUUUGUGUCGAUGCAUCUCUGUAAGACCAUUAUUAGAUUUUCCAAGCACGCGUCAAAAUUAUCCCCAUAGACAGAGAAAUUGUCCAUGAAGACUUCCACAUUCUUGGCCACCAUAUCUGAGAAGAUGGCCAUCAUGCAUCAUUGGAAAGUGGCAGGUGCAUUACACAGUCCGAAUGACAUUCUCCUGAAUGCGAACGUACCAUAUGGGCACGUAAAUGUUGUCUUCUCUUGAUCCUCAAGAGCGAUAACAAUUUGAUUAUACCCCGAGUAUCCAUCCAAUAAGCAAUAGUAUGCAUGACCCGCCAGUCUAUCCAGCAUUUGAUCGAUGAAGGGUAGAGGGAAAUGAUCUUUGCUAGUUGCUUUAUUCAAUUUUCUGUAGUCCAUGCAAACUCUCCAUCCAGUCACUGUUCUUGUUGGAAUCAGCUCAUUGUUUUCAUUUUGAACCACAGUCAUACCUCCCUUUUUCGGCACACAUUGAACUGGACUAACCCACUUGCUAUCUGAAAUUGGGUAGAUGAUACCUACGUCUAACCACUUCAGAAUUUCCUUCUUGACUACCUCUUUCAUGAUCGGAUUGAACCGUCUCUGUUGUUCCACGACCGGUUUAGCAUCAUCCUCCAUCAAAAUUUUGUGCAUACAAAAGGAUGGACUGAUUCUUUUGAUGUCCGCGAUUGUCCAUCCUAUCGCCGAUUUAUGUUCCCGAAGCACUCGCAGCAGCUUUUCUUCCUGCAAUUCGUUUAGUGCAGCAGAAAUAAUAACAGGUAAAGAAUUUGAAUUGCUUAAAUACGCAUACCUGAGGUGUUUAGGGAGUGGUUUCAACUUAAGAAUUGGUGGUUCCUCCAAUGACGAUUUCAUUCUUGUCGUUGUUCGCUCUUCCAUGUGCAAUGUUUCGAAUGGUGCUUUGAAUCUGCUCACUUGUGGCAGAUAGUCCAAUACUUGCAAAUAUUCUCCAAUUUCCAAAUCGUCGAGUCCUUGUAUUGCCGUCAUUCCAUCAACUUCUAACACUCCUGCGACCUUUUCUUGAUUCAUUCUUGCCGUGGGCCACUGGUAAUUGUUAGCUGCCAUAGUCUCUAUCAAAUCAUACACUUCCUCAUAACUCUUUGCCAUAAAUGCUCCACCUGAAGCUGCAUCAAUGCUCGUUCUGAUGUUCCCAUUCAAUCCAUUAUAAAAUGUGUUCAAUUGUAACCAUUUUGGCAACCCGUGAUGUGGACAUUUUUGAAGUAAUUCUUUAUAUAUUUCCCAUGCCUCAUACAAUGACUCCCCAUGUUGUUGUUCAAACAUCGUUAUCUCAUUCCUCAUUUUUGCUAUUUUUGCAGGUGGGAAAAAUUUGGCAAGGAAUUUCUGAGCUAGGUCUUCCCACGUAGUUAUAGAUCCGGAUGGUAGAGAGUGUAGCCAACUCUUCGCCUUGUCUCGUAAGGUGAAUGGGAACAAGCGAAGUCUUACUGCAUCAUCCGACACUCCAUUAUUCCGAAAGGUGUCGCAUAUCUCAAGGAAACUGACCAGAUGCUCGUUUGGAUCGUCAUUCGCCAAUCCCCCCAAACUGAACCGAAUUCUGAAUCAUUUGAAUUGUUCCCGGCUUAAUUUCAAACGUAUUUGCUGCUAUUGCGGGCCUCGUGAUGCUUGACUGCAGUUCAGUCACCUUUGGUGUGGCGAAGUCCCUUAGUGCUUUGUGAUCUUCGGCUGCCAUUUCCUCUUCUUUUUCAGGUGUUUCAAAUUCCUGUCUCGUUUCCUUAAUCCACUUACUCAAUCUUUAAAAUCUUUUCUCGAUGUCGUCCUUAAAAAGAAGCAAGUCAGGAUUUUUGGACCGAGUUUGUAUAAACUGCUUCAAUCACCUGAAAUAAAAUAACAAACAAAAUUAAAAAAAAAUUGUUUAAGUAAAACUAAAUUAAUUUAAUUGAUAUUGUAAUAAAUUAAGAUCUAUGCUAAUAUAUCCCCCGGCAACGGCGCCAAAAACUUGGUGGGUAAAAUCUAAUUACGCACAACACGCAAGUAUACGUGGUCAAUAAGUAAUAAAGUGAUAAAUGAAGUAUCGUUCCCUCAGAGACAACUAGCAAGAACUCAAGCUUACAACUAUCAAUCUUUAACUAAUCCAAAUUUUAUUAAACUAUAUUGAAUAAAUGAUGAGAAAAUCUUAACAACUAAUACUCUAGCUAUCACUAAUAACCCACAAAGAUAAAACUCAAUUUCCAAAUAAUAGUUGGAGAUUUAGGCUAAUGAUUUCACUCUAAGCUUCAAUUAGAUUAAUUCACUUAUUCCUCAGUUCAACUCAAUAUUCCAGUUUAUUAAUCAAGAACACGAUUGUAGCAUUAACCACCUCUCAGUGCACUAAUACCAAAUUAACUCAAAUCCACAAUUAAGAUAGAAUUAAGCCAAACACUUCAAUCAAUUAACUCACAAUAUCUCUAUGCAGAUUAAAUCAAAAGAAGUUUAAGAUUAAGUUCUCUAUCGAUUACAUGCGAUGUCAAGCAUAUCUCUACCUUAACAUUCAUCACAAUUCUGCUAUUCACAAAAUUCAUGAACACAUGCUAUAUCAAUUAAGUCUAGAUUUAAACAUCUUCUCUCGAAUCCAUUCAAAUCCACAAAAAAUUGUUGAUCAGGCAAUUCACAAAUUCAAGCACAAAUCAAUAUAGAUAAACUGUUGAAUAUUUCAUUAAACUGAGAAUUAAAACUAAUUAACCAUUGUUCCACUCAAAGAUCCAUCAAUCACCUAAAAAGAUAAUUAGUUCAUAAAAAAUAAAUUAACUACUUAAUAAAUAAAAGGAGACAUCAACCCAAUUACAGAUAAUAAAAAUUAAAGAAGAAUAAUAAACACCACCCUUCUUUGAAUUCAAUUCCUGCAAUUUUCAUGAAAAAAUUCCUUCUUCUCUAGACCUCCAAGCUUGAUCUCCAAUGUUGUUCUUCUUUCAAAAAUGUGUGUCUGUUUAAUCCCUCUUUCUCUUUCUACUUGUAGACCAUCGCUUGUCUAGAUACUCUCCUAGCUCCCCUCCACUUCCUAUCCAAAACAACUUAAAACAAUUCCAAUUCUUCCCAAAUACCGCCAGCUAACCUCUCUUUAAAAACCAGCAAAAUGCACCAGCGCAGUCCGGGCUAUCCUAGCCCUUCCGCAGCGCAGUCAGCGCUAGAGUAGCAGUAGAUGAAUUAGUCCCGGCGCGUUCAGCGCUAGCCCAGGGCAGUCCGCGCUACAGGAGCAGUAGGUCGUCCAUUCCAGCGCACUCAGUGCUGACAGCGCUAGAUCAUCAUCAGCUUCCAAUUUUUCUUAACACAGCCUCAAAUGCUUCCAAACGCGAGAUGCCUCUGCUUUUCCUACAUUAAACGAAAAACCCAUCAACAGUAACAUAAAAAUGCAGAAAAACAAACACAUAAACACUCCAACUGAACACGAUUCAUAAUUUAAAAACCUACUCAUCAGUAGGCUUUUGGUGAAUUAUUCAGGAUUAAGUGUAUAUGUGAAUAUGUUCUGUGUAUAUGGUCAUCUAUGUGUUCAGAAUGUGGUUAAGGGUUAAGGGUUGACCAGAUAAAUUUUAUCAGUGUUAAACCCUAAUAUUAUAUUCGAACGUCAACGUUCAGUUAGAAAACCCUAGCAAUGGAUAAGAAACCCUAGAAACAGGUUCUGAAACCCUAAUUUCAGUUCCGAGGAUUUGAAACCCUAAUUCGGAACUUGGAAACCCUAAUCUAGGAAUUUAAAGGAUAAUUAUAAUGCUUAAGUGAUAUUAAUUAUAAUAUUAAUUAGGAUAAAGCUUAAUUAAUUAGCAAACCCUAAUUUUAAUGUUUUAAACCCUAAUUAUUCUGUUAGAAACCCUAAUGUACAGUUAUGGACUUAAUUGCUAAAUUAGCAAUUUAAAUUGGGAUAAAAUUGAUUUAUGAAUGGGAAAGUUUAAUUUAAUUCGAGAAUCCUAAUUACAAUUUAGAAAUAUUAAUUUUUUAUUUUUGAAAACCUUAAGGGUUAAUAACCGUGAAUUUUAAGUCACUAUAUAUGUAUGUACAUUAUUGAUAUUUAAAACUUUGUGUUAUACAGUGAUUUAAUAUGUGACAACAUAUGUGAAGUGGUGCAUGGAUCAAUAAACAUAUAUACUAUAGUUAUGGAUAUAUACAUUUAUAGAUUUCAUUAAAAAUGAAAGAUUCGUAACCUAAUUAUACAUUAGGUGAGACAAUUAAAUAACCUAAGGGUUAUGGUAGUAAAGAAAGGUUUGUAUUUAAUAUGUAUACUAGCUUAAGUGGAUAAUUUUGUUAUUUCAAGUGACUAAUAAUUUUAAACCUAUUUCUAGUAAACCUAAUUAGGUUAUGAGCUAAAAUCACAUGUAUAAGUAAUUAAAUUUCAUAAGAUUGAGAAUGGAAACCCUAAAUAAAUAAUUUGGGUAGCAUAAAUUAAAAUUGUUAGACUAUGUUUAUUACAUGGCCCAAAACAAUUAAAGGAGAAGCCCAAAAGAAAUAAAAUGCAAACCAAUACGUAGCCCACUUGAUUAAGGGUAUUUUAGACUUUUGAUUAAUCAAAUUAGUGUAUUAAAAUAAAAGCAAAUUGGGAGAUAUAAUGCGCAAGGGGGGACCGGCCAAUUAGGCCUUUUUAUGGCAAGAAGAUUAUGCUAAUCAAUGUCCAUUAGUAGAAAUCUUACACACAAGUACAUGUGUGUCAAUCUCCCAUUGGUUGCAAAUCUAUUAAGCACCCUUAAUCACAUGAUUAGGCUAAUUGAAGAGAUAAGGUGUAGUCUUUUAUUCAUGGGACAAUAAAAAUAUGGGGGAUAAUAGUUAUAUCACUCAUUCAUUUGCUAGACAUUCAUUUUCUCUCAUUCUUCUUCUUCUAUCUUUUUCUCCCAAGCUAGUAGCAUUCAAGAGAGAAAAGAAAGAGAGAGAGAGUUCGGUUUUUGUGAGAGUGAGAGAGGUGUGCUAGUUUAUUUGAUCUUCCAAGUUCAUUACCUACUUGUGGAAUAGAAGAAAGAUAAUCUCAAAGCAAAGGUAUAAAACCUUUAAUCUUAACUAAGUUUAUUUAUUUUAUUUUGUUUAGCUUGAAUCCAAAGCAUGAGUUGUGAUCUUGAACAUUAGAACACUAGAUGUACUAGUUUGAUGGUGUGUUAUGUGUAGAUAUAACCAUUUUAGGUGUUAAAAGUUUGAUCCAAAGAAAGAAAAGCAAAGCAGUUUUUAAAGCUUAAGAAAAUUAGUGGACUGCUGCCACAAAAAGGAAAUUUCGGGAUUAGUUAGAUAUUCUAGAAAAUUCUGGGCUUUUGAUAUGUUGUAGUACACUGAAUAAGCUUUCCAUAGACUCUGAAAUGGACUAAAUCCGACAUCGGAGGAGAGAGUUAUGACAUUUCAAAGUAGUAGUGUCAAAAUUGUCCAACAAGUGAGGUGCAGUCCACUUGAACGGAAUUUCUGGGCUGAUAUGUUCGGAAUCUUGAAAAACAACAGUAGGGAAGACUUGUAGUCCCGGAAUUUAGCUUCUCGUGGGCUCAAGAAUCGCCUAAAAAUGUUUUAAAACGAAAAAGUUAGGACUGUUUUAGCGAAAGAGGAUAAAUCUGGGAAAAAGAUGAAAACUAUUGCGAGCGGACAUUUUUGGGGUCUGUUUUAGGCUUCCUAAGAGGUCCGAAAUUACUGGGUUAUAUUUUUUAAAAAUACUUUGGUAUACCAUGUAUAACAUAUCCAAAGUUGGAAAUUUUCUGAUAAACGAGCAAGGCGUGAGAAAAUCGCAAAGUGGGCUACUCGCUAAGUACUACAGCAGCAGUUGUUAGGCAGCAGCUGCAGGCAGCGCCCAGCAGCAUCGGCGCCUGCUCUGCAGUUGGCUGCUGAAACCAUUUUUGAACCUUGUUUCGAAUGGUUUCUGUUGUUCGUUUUUGCGGUUAGAAAUUUUCUAAAAAUACUAUGACAUGAGGUCUAUAACAUGCCCAAAAUUUCACUCGUAUAUGAUUCACGAUUUGAGAAUUAAAAAUCUACAAAGGAGCAUGUCAGAACUUAAAAUCAAGCGAACGACGAGCGUCGGCUCGUCGAACGAUUUUGACGUUCGACGUUCUGAAUCGCGUUCCGACGAAAUAAUAAGUAUUAAUAAAUCUAAUAAAGUCCUACAAGACGAGAUUUGGCUAUAAAUGAUAUUUUACGCCAAUAAACUUCUUUUCAGGCAUAAAUAAAGCAAUAAAAAUAUAUAAUAAAUAUAAAUUACAUAUUUAAGUGAAAUAAAAACUACAAUUGCCUAUAAAAUUAUAUUAUGGUAUAAGAAAAUAUUUUAUGUUAUUUUUAAUGACUUUUGAUAUUUUGUAAUGAGAUUCAUUAAUAAAUUAAUAUUAAUGGUGAUUAAUUUAUUUAUUUAUUUAAUAAAUAUAUUAAAUAAAUUAUGGGAAAUUAGAAAUAAUGCUUUGAAAAUCAUAUAAAAAUGAUUUAAGGCUUAGAAAAUUAUUUUAAAUAUAACUUUCGAUAUUUUGUCAUGAAAAUAUUAAUAUUUGAAUAUUAAUAUCACUUAUCGGAUAAUGAAUUUAGUUGUUUAAAAAUCAUAUAAAUAUGAUUUUAAAGUAUUAAAAAUACUGUGUGAUAUUAUAAAUAUAUUAUAAUAUUAUGUUAUGAUUUUCAUUAAUAUUUGGUAUUAAAUAAAUAUUAAUGAUAAAGGAAUUAUGUGGUAUUUAUAUUAUAUAAAUACGAUAUUAGUGAUUGAAAAGUCAUGAUAAAUGAUAAUAAUUAUCUGAAAAUUAUUACAAGCCUAUGAUUAAUGUUUUGACUGAUAAUAAAUUAUCUAAGAUAAUUGUUAAGUGUUCAAGCAGAGUUUAAUUAAACUUAGACUCGAGAAAAGUCCGACUAGACCGUCGGGAUGUUAAAAUUGUACCGAACUCAACUCGGACUGCAAUAGUUUGACUUGAGGCUAGGUGUUAUGUGUUGUAUAGACUGAUAGGGUUAUGUGUUAUGUGUUUAGGUUAUUUUUAAAUACUGUGAUGAUAUUAUUCAAACUUAGAAAUACAUAUUAUUAAUAAUAGGUCUUCAAACAAAGCUUAUUAAAUUGCAUAGCGGUAAUCAACGGUUCAGGCAAGUUUUACUUAACUCUAUUAAGAUUUGUUUCAUUCAGAUAUGCUUAUGGUUAAUCAUUGUUGAUUGCCAUGGAUAAUUGUACUCUGUACAUAUUGCAUGUAUAAGUCAGGUAUGAAAGGCUGAUCACCUUCAUUACCAGUUGGUCCAGAUAUAUUUGUUCAUGUUCAAUACUUGUUCAGUCAAAAAAUUUUUCGUGCUAGUUCUCAAUUAUAUUGAUGAAUUAUAGCCAGCUUAUUAUUUAGACUCUUUCAAUCAUGAUAUAUCCUUAAAUUGUAUCUAAACUUGCUGGGAAACUUUCAUGCUCACCCUUGCUAUAUCAUGAUAAACAUUGCAGAUAAGGCGAAUGUGUUCGGAUACAUGAAAAGGAUAAUGUCAAGUUCUGCUUGGGAUAAAAUGUGCAACUAGAUUGUAAUAGUAUAAUUUGAUAAUAAUGUUAGGUG
rnacentral:lncRNA from 1 species